rfam:Triticum aestivum genome assembly, contig: Triticum_aestivum_CS42_TGACv1_scaffold_130743_2BL
UGGCGAUGAUACUUUGGCUUGUUUCUCAAAACAUUUGCAGGUGCCGCCUAAGAGCUUUCGCCUUGCCAGGCUUGAGAGUUAAUGUUGCUAAUUCUGUAUUUGAAUGCCUAAGCCA